GUCCGCGGCACAGCCCCGUUGGCGUGGGGACGCACAGCUGGUGGGAUCUCGCCAUGGCCUGGGCCCCUCUCCUCCUCGCGGUGCUCGCCCACACCUCAGGUUCCCUGGUCCAGGCAGCACUGACUCAGCCGGCCUCGAAGUCGGUGAACCUGGGAAACACCGUGCAGAUCACCUGCUCCGGGAGCAGCUACGGCUACUAUGGCUGGUUCCAGCAGAAGACCCCUGGCACUGGCCCUGUCACUGUGAUCUACUACAACGACAAGAGACCCUCGGGCAUCCCUUCACGAUUCUCUGGUUCCAAAUCUGGCUCCACAGCCACGUUAACCAUCACUGGGGUCCAAUCCGAGGACGAGGCCGUCUAUUACUGUGGGAGCUUCGACAGCAGUGCUACUGGUGCAUUUGGGGCCGGGACCACCUUGACCGUCCUGGGCCAGCCCAAGGCGUCUCCCAGCAUCUACGUCUUCCCGCCAUCCUCCGAGGAGAUCGACUCGCAGAACAAGGCCACCCUGGUGUGCCUGAUGAGCGACUUCUACCCCAGCCCGGUGCAGGUGACCUGGAAAGUCGACGGUUCCGCCCGCACCAGCGGCGUGGAGACUUCUGCGUCCCAGAGGCAGAGCAACAACCAGUACAUGGCCAGCAGCUACCUGACACUGAGCGCUGCAGAGUGGAAGAGCCACCAAUCCUUCAGCUGCCAGGUCACGCACGAAGGCGCUGUCACCGAGAAGACCCUGAACAAAUCCGAGUGCUUGUAACCCCGACGGGGCACAGCCACAAAGACAGUGGCUCCUCACACUUCCUGUCCCUCUUGGCCGCUGCUGGUGACAGCAGCCCCCCCUCCUCACCCGGAUGUCCCCCCUCAUGCCCCUGCCAUCCCCCUGUGCCUGUCCCCUGCUCCUGUCCCCCUCCGCCGGGUGUCACACAAAUAAACACCAACACUGAACUAGC